rnacentral:rRNA from 1 species
GCGGAGGGAUCAUUACACAAAUAUGAAGGCGGGCUGGAACCUCUCGGGGUUACAGCCUUGCUGAAUUAUUCACCCUUGUCUUUUGCGUACUUCUUGUUUCCUUGGUGGGUUCGCCCACCACUAGGACAAACAUAAACCUUUUGUAAUUGCAAUCAGCGUCAGUAACAAAUUAAUAAUUACAACUUUCAACAACGGAUCUCUUGGUUCUGGCAUCGAUGAAGAACGCAGCGAAAUGCGAUAAGUAGUGUGAAUUGCAGAAUUCAGUGAAUCAUCGAAUCUUUGAACGCACAUUGCGCCCUUUGGUAUUCCAAAGGGCAUGCCUGUUCGAGCGUCAUUUGUACCCUCAAGCUUUGCUUGGUGUUGGGCGUCUUGUCUCUAGCUUUGCUGGAGACUCGCCUUAAAGUAAUUGGCAGCCGGCCUACUGGUUUCGGAGCGCAGCACAAGUCGCACUCUCUAUCAGCAAAGGUCUAGCAUCCAUUAAGCCUUUUUUCAACUUUUGACCUCGGAUCAGGUAGGGAUACCCGCUGAACUUAAGCAUAUCAAUAAGCGGAGGAAA